ensembl:lncRNA
AUGAGCAUCUUGAGUUACAAUAUUAAUGCCUGGCUCAUCAAGAGAAGUUGUGGAGUACUGAAAGUCACUGUGGUUCUUCUGGUGAAGACCAUGGGACCUUCCAUACCAAGAAACAUAUCUAGGCUUGAGCAAAUCCAUGUGUUCAAUCAGAACAGCAAAGGUAACUCUAGAAUGGUGGCUCCUAUCUUCAAACAUCUGACUUUAGAAGUAGUUUACAAUUUUUUUUAUUAUUUUUUUUUCUGGCUAAUACAGUUGUCUGUCUGGAAUAUCCCAUUUUUGGGAGCUAGAAAUGGGUGAGGUAGUGUUUUUCUGCUGCUUAAUGUAAGAGUAACGGAGUGCUUGUUUUGUUCUAAGACUCAUUUUGAAGAAAGUGUUAAAUAAUCAGGCUGGGAGGAAAAGUGGUGGGCAAUGAUGACAAAUUACUUUUUAAAAAGUUUUUCUAGAACUUUUAAGACCCAAAUUGUAAGCUUUUCCUGGCAUUUUUUCCUUGUAGAAAUACGUGAUGAUUGACAAUUUGAUCUUGCACCCAGGUACACAAUCUUGCAUUUUGUAUUAGAUGCUGCAUUAAGGAUGCAUUAAAGUGGAUUUGAAGAACUCUAGGUCUGUUUGUAUUUUAUUCUGAAUCAGUAAAAGAGAACUGGUGAAAGCAGUAGCUAUGCUGUAAAUUCAUUGUUGUAUCCCACAGAAGGCUUUUAAGUUAUUCAAGCUGUCUUUUCACAAAUCUAAUAAUUUGUGUUGUGUGAAAAGUGAUUACGUUAACUGUGAAUUCUUGUCUACUUGGUGAUAAGAUCAUAUUAUUUGCUCUACUGCUGUGAUGAGCAUCAACUGCUACCUUUUGUUACUGUACAUGAAAUGAGCUAACUCUAGAGAUCAACAGAAAAAUGUCCUUCCCACUGAAAAUACAACUAGUGCUCUUGCUGGCAAUAGCUAUGGAGGGACUGGUGAUUAAUUUUGCCGGCAUGACUUUGUACUAUUUUAAGUUUCCUCUUCCCAUGGGGAACUCUGAGCUGGUUGACCUAGUUGAAUCCUAAAGACCUCUUAUAUAGCUAAAGAGUCAAAAUAGAGCCAGUCAAUUGACACAAAAGGUCAGAGAUGCCAUUAGGGAUGGAAUUGGUUAGGGAUGUCUUGAUGUACUAGAGUCUUCUGUAGAAAAAUGUCUUUUACCAACCUGACCCAAGAUGAAAUUUCUCACUGAAACAGGAGAGAUGUUACAGAAAUACUCAGGAUUAGAGUAUUUGUUUAAGAAAUUGAAUUCAAAGCCCAUGAUUCAGACCAAGAAUAUGAACUUGAGUUUUAUAAAUCCUGGACAAGUAUUGUCCUUACUGCUAAGUUAUCAACAUUAAAUUUUCUGUCAUUUCUCAUUGCAAUGUUUGAUUUGCAAAUCACACAACAAAUCCAAAGUAUCCUCUCAUGUUAUAGUUUUAAUAGUCAGCCUAUACAUUACUGCAUUGCUGACCUAUUCUUUCUGUAUUUUUACAAAUGAUUCUGAAUAGUCUCAAUUAGUCUGUUGUAGACUUGGAUGGUUUCUGCUGUUUUUUUUUUUUCACUCCAUUUGUAGCCUGUUACCUGGAAGAGUUCGGUGCUAUAACCUCUGGUUUUUCAAAACAUUUCAAAAGAAGUGUGGUGUGCAGAAAUGAAACAUGAAUGUAGUCAGGCAAUGUGUUGCUUUUACUUUGUGAUUUAUUGGAGGAAACACUAUUGAUUUCAGGCAUCAAUGACAAAAUUUGUUGACAAUAAAUCACCUAAAAGGUAUGGCA